rnacentral:rRNA from 1 species
AAACCAGCACCUCAAGUGGUCAGGAGGAUUAUUGGGCCUAAAGCAUCCGUAGCCUGUUCUAUAAGUUUCCGGUUAAAUCCACUAGCUCAACUAAUGGGCUGCCGAAAAUACUGUAGAACUAGGGAGUGGGAGAGGUAGACGGUAUUCGGUAGGAAGGGGUAAAAUCCUUUGAUCUAUUGAGGACCACCUGUGGCGAAGGCGGUCUACCAGAACACGUUCGACGGUGAGGGAUGAAAGCUGGGGGAGCAAACCGGAUUAGAUACCCGGGUAGUCC